CUUGACAUGUACGGAAGGCCGGAGAGAUCUGGCUGUGCUCGAAAGAGAGCCGUAACACAGGUGCUGCAUGGCUGUCGUCAGCUCGUGUCGUGAGAUGUUGGGUUAAGUCCCGCAACGAGCGCAACCCUUGUCAUUAGUUGCUACGCAAGAGCACUCUAAUGAGACUGCCGGUGACAAACCGGAGGAAGGUGGGGAUGACGUCAAGUCCUCAUGGCCCUUAUGGGUAG
rnacentral:rRNA from 1 species